AUUCUGGAAUUUUUCUUUUCCUAUAUAAUUCCGGUAAUAUGGUCCGGAAGUCUCUACCAGAUGGCCGUAAACCAUCUGACUAUAGGAAAAGGGGAGCUUAAU
rnacentral:ncRNA from 2 species